UACGAAGGGGGCUAGCGUUGUUCGGAAUUACUGGGCGUAAAGCGCGCGCAGGUGGUCUUUCAAGUCAGUGGUGAAAGCCCGGAGCUCAACUCCGGAAAUGCCAUUGAAACUGUAAGACUUGAGGAUGAGAGAGGUGAGUGGAAUUCCCAGUGUAGAGGUGAAAUUCGUAGAUAUUGGGAAGAACACCGGUGGCGAAAGCGGCUCACUGGACCACAACUGACGCUGAGGCGCGAAAGCUAGGGGAGCAAACAGG
rnacentral:rRNA from 1 species